rnacentral:rRNA from 1 species
AACCUUCGGGUUGAGUGGCGGACGGGUGAGUAACGCGUGAGAAUCUGCCUUGGGGUCGGGGACAACCACUGGAAACGGUGGCUAAUACCGGAUAAGCCUUUGGGUAAAAAAUUUAUUGCCCCAAGAGGAGCUCGCGUCUGAUUAGCUAGUUGGUGAGGCAAAAGCUCACCAAUGCAGCGAUCAGUAGCUGGUCUGAGAGGACGAUCAGCCACACUGGGACUGAGACACGGGCCAGACUCCUACGGGAGGCAGCAGUGGGGAAUUUUCCGCAAUGGGCGAAAGCCUGACGGAGCAAGACCGCGUGAGGGAGGAAGGCUCUUGGGUUGUAAACCUCUUUUCUCAGGGAAGAAGCUCUGACGGUACCUGAGGAAUCAGCCUCGGCUAACUCCGUGCCAGCAGCCGCGGUAAUACGGAGGAGGCAAGCGUUAUCCGGAAUUAUUGGGCGUAAGGCGUCCGCAGGUGGCGAUUCAAGUCUGCUGUCAAAGCACGGGGCUUAACUCCGUUAAGGCAGUGGAAACUGAAUAGCUAGAGUGCCGUAGGGGUAGAGGGAAUUCCCGGUGUAGCGGUGAAAUGCGUAGAGAUCGGGAAGAACAUCGGUGGCGAAAGCGCUCUACUGGACGGCAACUGACACUCAGGGACGAAAGCUAGGGGAGCGAAUGGGAUUAGAUACCCCAGUAGUCCUAGCUGUAAACGAUGGAUACUAGGUGUAGCUUGUAUCGAACCGAGCUGUGCCGAAGCUAACGCGUUAAGUAUCCCGCCUGGGGAGUACGCACGCAAGUGUGAAACUCAAAGGAAUUGACGGGGGCCCGCACAAGCGGUGGAUUAUGUGGUGUAAUUCGAUGCAACGCGAAGAACCUUACCAGGGCUUGACAUGUCCGGAAUCCCGGUGAAAUCUGGGAGUGCCUUCGGGAGCCGGAACACAGGUGGUGCAUGGCUGUCGUCAGCUCGUGUCGUGAGAUGUUGGGUUAAGUCCCGCAACGAGCGCAACCCUCGUCUUUAGUUGCCAGCAUUAAUUUGGGCACUCUAGAGAGACUGCCGGUGACAAACCGGAGGAAGGUGGGGAUGACGUCAAGUCAGCAUGCCCCUUACGCUCUGGGCGACACACGUACUACAAUGGUCGGGACAGAGG